rnacentral:lncRNA from 1 species
GCUCAUUGACCAGAAACUGCAGAGAGCCUGGAGCUCGUUGACCACAAACUACAGAAAGCCUGGAGCUCGUUGACCAGCCGGUUGACCAGAAUACGGUGCUCCAAGGACAUGCGGUUGAAUGCCGUGUUCUAAAGUCACGAGUGACUCUCCAGCUGGUCCCUGUGCCAGGCUGGUCGGCCUUCGUGCACACAGUCCGCCAGUGCCCAGCCAGGCCCCUGGUUCCCCUCUGCUCCACCAGCCGAGAACAAGCCCGUCCUGGAGGGAACUCAUCCUCUCCUCCCUCCCCAUUAAAGCCCAGUUUAUUCCCCAUCUUGGCCUCUGGUGCUGACCUGGCCUCUGGAGACACAGGCCGGGGGGUGCUGUUUGCGAACUCACCGUGACUGAGCUCCAUGAGGAUACCACAGUCCCACGUGGCUGGCAGCGCCCACCCCACACACCCUGCCCCUUGCUGGGCGGCCCCAUGCCACAAAAGUUAGACCCAGGAGCAGGUGCCCUGGGAGCAGGCUGCCACCAGCUGGGUCAGAAGCCCCUCUACAUGCCUGGUGCUUUUGACCUCCUAGGGAGGCUGGCUUGAAUCUGGAAAGUCACCAGUUCUGACCCCAGCCAGACACAGGGGUGCUGCCAGGAGCUGCUCCCAGGCGGGUGGCCCAGCUUCUCUCAGGCACCAGGGGAUGGCAGGACUCCUGGUGACCAGCUGGUCCCCAAAGCCGUGGCACCGCGCCUGCUGCUGCCAGCAAAGUCCCACACACAGCCUGUGGCAGGUGCCGCCCCAUUCUUUCUGCCCCUCCCUCAUCAGGGGCCAGGGUGAAGCCCCUGCCGCCCUCUGCCUUCCCUCCACCUGCGGCUUCCCUGGCAGGGAGACCAUGGACCCAGCUCCUGCCUCCUCCAUUCGUUUAACAGAUAGGGCCCAGGCCAGCAGCCCAGGCAUUAGGCUGGCCGGUCCACUGAGGCCUAGACAGGCCAGGCCUGAGGCAGCUCAGGAGUGCCAAGCUGGCCCCACGUUCCCACCCAACAGCGGCCCUUGGGGCUGCCUUCCUGCCAGGUGUCCAGGCCCAACACACAAGACCUGAGCCUGCUCUGCCUCAGUUUCCCUACUCUGUGAACUGCGGCUGCUGCUCUCUCGGGGCCCUUCUAGCCCUGGCCAAGGGGUGGGGGCUUUGUUCCCUCGGGCGUCCUGUCCCUGGGGACUGGCCACACACACACCACACACUGCCCUCCCACCUGGACUCUGUCCCAGCGGCACCAGGGUCAGGAGCAGGAGCCUCAGGACCCACGCAGCACCAGGCACAGCACGGAGUGAGGCAGUGGGCGGUGUGGCAAGCGCUGUGUGCACCACUAACCUGGAGGAGCCACGGCUCCCGGACCCUCGUGUCAAAGCUGCCGGCCUCCUUUGCUGGGAGCCUGAGAGGAGGUCCUGGUGCAGAACAGCAGCUUGUUGCCAGCCACAGUGAGAAGGUGGUGAGUGUGCCAGCCACUGAGUUAACCAUCAGUAACAGGAGGCGUGUGCAGACAGGUGUGGACCACAGGUAUGUAUGUCACAUGCCUGCAUACGUCACAUGUAUGUGUAUCUCACACGCCUGCAUACACCACAGGUAUGUAUGUCACACGCCUGCAUAUGUCACAUGUAUGUGUCUCACGCCUGCAUAAGUCACAUGCAUGUGUGUCUCACGCCUGCAUACACCACAGGUAUGUAUGUCUCACGCCUGCAUGUCACAUGUAUGUAUCUCACACGCCUGCAUGUCACAUGUAUGUGUAUCUCACAUGCCUGCAUAUGUCACAUGUAUGUGUAUCUCACACGCCUGCAUACACCACAGGUAUGUAUGUCUCACGCCUGCAUAUGUCACAUGUAUGUGUGUCUCACACGCCUGCAUAAGUCACAUGCAUGUGUGUCUCACACGCCUGCAUACACCACAGGUAUGUAAGUCACACGCCUGCAUGUCACAUGUGUCUCACACGCCUACAUGUGUCACAUGUAUGUGUAUCUCACACGCCUGCAUACACCACAGGGAUGUAUGUCUCACGCCUGCAUAUGUCACAUGUAUGUGUAUCUCACAUGCCUGCAUGUCACAUGUAUGUGUCUCACACGCCUGCAUACACCACAGGUAUGCAUGUCUCACGCCUGCAUAUGUCACAUGUAUGUGUAUCUCACACGCCUGCAUGUCACACGUAUAUGUCACACGCCUGCAUAUGUCACAUGUAUGUGUAUCACACACCUGCAUACACCACAGGUAUGUAUGUCACGCCUGCAUAUGUCACAUGUAUGUGUGUCUCACACGCCUGCAUAUGUCACAUGUAUGUGUCUCACACGCCUGCAUAAGUCACAUGUAUGUGUCUCACACCUGCAUACACCACAGGUAUGUAUGUCUCACGCCUGCAUAUGUCACAUGUAUGUGUAUCUCACACGCCUGCAUAUGUCACAUGUAUGUGUAUCUCACACGCCUGCAUACACCACAGGUAUGUAUGUCUCACGCCUGCAUAUGUCACAUGUAUGUGUAUCUCACACGCCUGCAUACACCACAGGUAUGUAUGUCUCACACACGCCUGCAUAUAUCACAUGUAUAUGUGUCACACAUGCCUGCAUACACCACAUGUAUGUCACACACAUCUGCAUAUAUCACUUGUAUGUGUCUCACACACCUGCAUACACAUAUAUGCCUCACACGCCUGCAUCUAUCAUGUGUGUGUCUCACACACCUGCAUAUAUCACAUGUAUGUGUCUCACAGCUGCAUACACCACAGGUAUGUGUCUCACACACGCCUGCAUAUAUCACAUGUAUGUGUAUCUCACACGCCUGCAUAUGUCACAUGUAUGUGUAUCUCACACGCCUGCGUAUAUCACAUGUAUGUGUGUGUCACACACACACCUGCAUACAUACAGGCACAUGGACACCUGUGUGCACACCAGUCCCUCCCUUCCCCGUCACCAUCAGGUUCAGCCGGGCCUGUGGUCACUGCUUCCCCGAGGCAGCUGCAAUGGGGCCCCGGCUCCCCCUACAUGGUGCGUCUGAUCAGGUUGGGACUCGCUCAGGUAGCUCUCAUCACAAGGUCCUUGUGCACUGUUGCGGCUGCUCUUGGUGGCCCUUCUAGAGCCUUCCUGAGCCAGAGCAGACUCCUGCUCCCCCCAGACCCCCUGGGAGUCGAUUCUGUCCCCUUCUUCCUGGCCGCAGGUCGGUGCAGCCGCUUUCCUGCCUGGAAGAGUAAAGUGGACCCUGUGUGAAAACAUUGACGACGUGGCAAAUGAGCAGCAAAUUGAUCAAUACGAAUGAUCACGCCCCAUGUGCAUCUCCUCAGCAGCCACAAGAGAGACGAGGUCACUGGAGGAUAAACAUCCGUGACUGCACCUCAUGAUCCAUCACGCACGACGGCCGCAGCAUCUCCUGCCAGCUGCCGGCACAGACAAGAGCACGGGAUGGACGACCGCGGUAGCAACGUGGGGCUCAUCUGCCUCUCUCUGAGCAGGAAGCCCGUCACUCUGUGCGGUGUGCACUGACCCCAGCCAGUGGAUGUUCCCCGUCCAAGAGCAAAGCUACAGUCGGCUGCAGGUGCAGUGACUUUUGCACAGUGGAAGAAUUUCUCCAGAAGAUAUUCCUGCAGGUGGAAUCACUGGAUCGUAGGCCCAGAUGUCUUCCACUUACUUGAUUUUGCCUGAUGCCUUCCAAGGAGGCUGUGCACAGCAGGUGUGAGAUGCCCCAUCUCACCAACCGGCCAACAUCCCGAUGGGAGAUGUUGAGUUUUCACCACGCUGCUGAGUGUGACGUGGAAUCUUCUUAUUUUAGCUUGCAUUUCCCUGAUUACAAGUCAGGUGGAACAUCUCGAAUAUGUUUCUGGGCCAUUUGAUUUUCCUGCAAGUCACCUGUUCCAGUUCUUUGCCCAUUUCCUGUUGGGUUGGUCAAUAUUUUUUGUGAUUACACGUUGGAUACGUGGCUGGCCUUUGGCUUGCCUU